AACGAACGCUGGCGGCAUGCCUAACACAUGCAAGUCGAACGAGACCUUCGGGUCUAGUGGCGCACGGGUGCGUAACGCGUGGGAACCUGCCCUUAGGUUCGGAAUAACUCCCCGAAAGGGGUGCUAAUACCGGAUAAUGUCUUCGGACCAAAGAUUUAUCGCCUUUGGAUGGGCCCGCGUUGGAUUAGCUAGUUGGUAGGGUAAAAGCCUACCAAGGCGACGAUCCAUAGCUGGUCUGAGAGGAUGAUCAGCCACACUGGGACUGAGACACGGCCCAGACGAGGAGGGGACGCAGUAGUGGGGAGUAGAAGAGAGUGGGCAUACGACUGCACGAACAAGGGGGGGGGGGAGAGGAAGGUGGGAGUGUUUUACCGCUCUAGUACCCGUGAUAAAAAAAACAGUGCGGGGAGAAAAGCCCCCUGAUACCGCCGGGUCAGGAGAGGCGCUAAGAAAUAAAAGAACACUCGCUUCAUC
rnacentral:rRNA from 1 species